rnacentral:rRNA from 1 species
UACAGAGGUCUCAAGCGUUGUUCGGAUUCAUUGGGCGUAAAGGGUGCGUAGGCGGCGCGGUAAGUCGGGUGUGAAAUCUCGGAGCUUAACUCCGAAACUGCAUUCGAUACUGCCGUGCUUGAGGACUGGAGAGGAGACUAGGUAAUUUACGGUGUAGCGGUGAAAUGCGUAGAUAUCGUAAGGAAGACCAGUGGCGAAGGCGGGUCUCUGGACAGUUCCUGACGCUGAGGCACGAAGGUCAGGGGAGCAAACGGG